GUGGCCAUGGUGAAGGCUGAACUGGGCGAGAGUGGCGGGGGUUUUGCCGCCGGCGCCGUUGCAUUCGAGUUUUCCGCCGCAGUCACCGGUUUCGCAGGUUAAAUGGUUGUGGUCACCGACGCAGCCGGUUCGAGCCCAGACGCGGCCGGACCAGUGCUGGUAGGGAGCAGGGAAGGAGCGGUGGGAGAGGGAAGGGAGGAAGAAGCCACCGCGUUCGGGGACGGGGUGGCCGGCGUUGGGCUGAAUGGCGGGCCAGAUCGGGUAAGGGCAGUUGUUGACGAGGGUCAGGAUGAGGCCGCUGCCCGGAUAUGUGGCUUCGGUGAGAGAGGAAAGAGAGGACAAAGUAAGAAGGAGAUAGAGAGAGGAAGAUAGGAAGGCGAUCGCCAUUGAUGGAGAAAUG
rnacentral:misc_RNA from 1 species